GUGGGGAAUAUUGGACAAUGGGGGAAACCCUGAUCCAGCGACGCCGCGUGAGUGAAGAAGUAUUUCGGUAUGUAAAGCUCUAUCAGCAGGGAAGAAAAUGACGGUACCUGACUAAGAAGCCCCGGCUAACUACGUGCCAGCAGCCGCGGUAAUACGUAGGGGGCAAGCGUUAUCCGGAUUUACUGGGUGUAAAGGGAGCGUAGACGGCACUGCAAGUCUGGAGUGAAAGCCCGGGGCUCAACCCCGGGACUGCUUUGGAAACUGUGGUGCUGGAGUGCGGGAGAGGUAAGUGGAAUUCCUAGUGUAGCGGUGAAAUGCGUAGAUAUUAGGAGGAACACCAGUGGCGAAGGCGGCUUACUGGACUGUAACUGACGUUGAGGCUCGAAAGCGUGGGGAGCAAACAGGAUUAGAUACCCGAGUAGUCC
rnacentral:rRNA from 1 species